rnacentral:rRNA from 1 species
AUUGAACGCUGGCGGAAUGCUUUACACAUGCAAGUCGAACGGCAGCACGGGGCAACCUGGUGGCGAGUGGCGAACGGGUGAGUAAUACAUCGGAACGUGCCCAAUCGUGGGGGAUAACGUAGCGAAAGUUACGCUAAUACCGCAUACGAUCUACGGAUGAAAGCGGGGGAUCGCAAGACCUCGCGCGAAUGGAGCGGCCGAUGUCAGAUUAGGUAGUUGGUGGGGUAAAGGCUCACCAAGCCAACGAUCUGUAGCUGGUCUGAGAGGACGACCAGCCACACUGGAACUGAGACACGGUCCAGACUCCUACGGGAGGCAGCAGUGGGAAUUUGGACAAUGGGCGCAAGCCUGAUCCAGCCAUUCCGCGUGCAGGAUGAAGGCCUCGGUUGUAAC